UCUAGUGAUGAUGGCAAAGAGGCCACACCCGUCCCCAUCCCGAACACGGAAGUUAAGCUCUUUUGCGCCGAUGGUAGUUGGGGGUUUCCCCCUGUGAGAGUAGGACGUCGCUAGGC
rnacentral:rRNA from 1 species